GACGAACGCUGGCGGCGUGCUUAACACAUGCAAGUCGAACGGAAAGGCCCUGCUUUUGUUGGGUGCUCGAGUGGCGAACGGGUGAGUAACACGUGAGUAACCUGCCCUUGACUUUGGGAUAACUUCAGGAAACUGGGGCUAAUACCGGAUAGGAUCUCCUGCUGCAUGGUGGGGUUUGGAAAGUUUCGGCGGUUGGGGAUGGUCUCGCGGCUUAUCAGCUUGUUGGUGGGGUAGUGGCUUACCAAGGAUUUGACGGGUAGCCGGCCUGAGAGGGUGACCGGCGAAAUUGGGACUGAGAUAAGGCCCAGAAUCCUACGGGAGGCAGCAGUGGGGAAUAUGGCACAAUGGGCGGAAGCAUGAUGAAGAAACGCAGCGUGCGGGAUGACGGCCUUCGGGUUGUAAACAGAUUUAGACUGUGAAGAAGAGUGAGUGACGGUAAUGGGUAAAGGAGCACCGGCUAACUACGUG
rnacentral:rRNA from 1 species